UGGGCUGUAGCUCAGCGGUAGAACGCCUACCCUGUCGUGGUAGCGGCAGUUGGUUCGACCCCAACCAGGCCUA
rnacentral:tRNA from 1 species